rnacentral:rRNA from 1 species
GACAGAGGUGGCAAGCGUUGUCCGGAUUUACUGGGCGUAAAGGGCGUGUAGGCGGUUUCGUCAGUCAGCCGUGAAAUGCGUCGGCUCAACCGAAGCAGUGCGACUGAUACUGCGAGGCUAGAGGAUCGGAGAGGGAAGGGGAAUUCCUGGUGUAGCAGUGAAAUGCGUAGAUAUCAGGAAGAACACCAAUGGCGAAGGCGCCUUCCUGGCCUGUUCUUGACGCUGAGGCGCGAAAGCUAGGGUAGCAAACGGG